rnacentral:lncRNA from 1 species
AUGGGCCCGUCUGGAGGUCGGAUCGGCACUUUGUUAUGCAGGAGACCGGUUGAUUCUUGUGGAUUUUCCCCCCUCUCAGAGAACCUAGCCCAGGAGCAUCCAUUCAAAUCAAAUCGAGGAACAAAGCUGCGAGAAACUGCCAAGCCUGUCUUACAAGCUCUGAGAGGCCCCGCGGUCUCGUCCAGAGAUAACAUCAGAGCGCCCCCUGCUGGUCAGCAGAGUAGACCGCGGCGGGUCAGCCCCCUGCCAAGCGAAUCCUGUUUAUCUGCGCCCCCGCCUCCCACCGACUCCUUCCGCACGCCUCCUUCGUUCUGCCGUGGAGCACCUCGGCAGGGGAAAGGCUUGUCAAGGCUGAGCAUUUGAAGGAAUAAAUGACAAAAAUCAUAAUAAAAUACGAAGGAACCCCCCACCUUAACUUAACCUCGGGGGACUAAACUUCCAAUUCCUUAGCAAAGGGACACAUUUCCUUUUUCUGAUCGCUUCUUCUGUGGGGUCUCGCUGUAGUUUUUUGUUUGUUUGUUUGUUGUUUGUUUUCCUGCUGAACUGUUUUAAUAGGAAAUAUUGUACUAGAAUUUCUAAUGGAUAUCUGAUGGGGAAAACGGCUAAUGCAAAACAAUACUUUGCAUUCUCACGGAAUUGAAGUCCGGAGGAAGAAGUCUCACUGUUCCAGCAAAGAGCGGAAGACUCGCUUUGGGGUGCAGGUGGUUCCCUGAUAGAGUCUGGGUGACCCUUCCCGCAAAGAGCGGGCAUCCGACCCUUCCGCUUCCCUCCCUCCUUCCCUUUUUCUUUCUGUUUAAAAGUUGUUAUUGCACACGCGCGCCCGCUCGCGCACAGGUCCCUUCCAUGCGUGUGCCCAUUCUUUCGUGGCCCGUGUUUCUGGAUUUUGCUGGAAACGGAAAGAGUGGGUUAAGUGCAUGGCAGUAACCCGGCAGGGUCCGGGGCACUUGAUCUCGGUGCUCCACGUCUGAAGCCAGGUGUGGGCUGCCACCGUUCGAGAGUGUUUGGAGGGUUCGCCACCGGUUCAGCCCAGAGGGCGUUCUCCCAGCCCCGGGUCAGUUUCGGGGGCCGCGGGCGGCGCGGCCCAGGACGCAGGUGACGGCCGGGCGUCUCGGNNNNNNNNNNNNNNNNNNNNNNNNNGGAGACGCCGGCUCCCCGCAGCUUCCCUCUCGGGAAGGGCGCUGGCCGGGCAGCCUCCCCCGGGAAAGGCUCCUCGCCACAGCCAAACCCCACUUGAAGUGUGCAAACCUACAGUGCGGAACGACUUCAGUUCCGGGGGCAGUUUCUGGUUCUGUGUUUGGGAGAUUUUGUGAAGCUGUCUGGGAACUGAGGGGCAGGGAGGAACCCGGGCAGGGAGGACUGCAGGCUGAGGAGGGUCUCGAGACUUUCAUUUCUUGCCGGACUACCGGGAUCCUCGGUUUAAAAACCCACUCUCUUCCUCGCUUUCCUACAGAAACCCCGGGCCACCCCAACUCUGCGCCUCUUUGAGGCCGCUCCUGGACGGGACAGGGACCCAGGGACCCCAGAGGAGGAGCGCUCCUAGAGCAAGGCGGAGGUAGGAGACAGCGUGGGGCUUCUCCAGGCAGGGAAUGUCUCCGUGCAGCUCGGUUGAAAAAUUAAUUGGGCUCUUGUGACAACCGAGAUAAAGUUCGAUAUUUAUAUUGCAGCUGUUAUGUUAUCAUUUGGGGGGUCUGUUUUGAAGAAGUUCAUAGCUUUCAAACUUGCUUUAAACAUACCUUCUGUUUGGGGGAGCAGGAUCUGUCCCUGUGGUGGACUUUUGUGAAAGGUCCCCAUUAAGCUCAGAAGUGCAAGAGUAGUUGCUGCGGACCACAUGAAUCCAUUUAAAUAUGUGUGCAUAUAUAUACAAGUGUUUGUAUAGCAUGUACACACCUAGAUAUCUGUGUGCCUCUAUAAACACAGUAAAAUAUAAAAGACAAAGACUGACAUGGCCCUCACUCCAGGUGAACCCAAAUAAAAAUAUUUUCAGGAAUGUGCUCUCACAGCUGAAGAAAAUAUGAAAAUCUCAAUGUAUUUGUCUCAGAUCAACUUAAUAAAAUCUGGAGGCACUGACAAUCUGGUCAAUGUUCUAAGUAAAUUAAUGCAAAGGUCCUUAGGAAGAGACAGAAAAUACCCCCUGCCAUUAAUCUUUAACCACUUGAAGAUUAUGAUUAAAACAAUGAGAUCACUAAGCAUUAUCAUCUCAAAUAGCUGUUAACAGCCCCCAUUCCUUAUUGUGGCAACAAAAUAAACUCUCCGCU